GCCGGCGUAGCUCAGAGGCAGAGCGCCACUUUUGUAAAGUGGAUGUCGUGGGUUCAAAUCCCUCCGCCGGCUCCA
rnacentral:tRNA from 1 species